rnacentral:rRNA from 1 species
GAUGAACGCUGACAGCAUGCUUAACACAUGCAAGUCAACUGUGGCGGACUGGUGAGUAACGCGUAAAGAACUUGCCUCACAGUUAGGGACAACAUUUGGAAACGAAUGCUAAUACCUGAUACUGUGAGGGAGCUUUGCGUCCCAUUAGCUAGUUGGAGAGGUAACGGCUCACAAAGGCGAUGAUGGGUAGCCGGCCUGAGAGGGUGAGCGGCCACAAGGGGACAGGGACACGGGCCGUACUCAUUCGGGAGGCAGCAGUGGGGAAUAUUGGACAAUGGACAAAAGUCUGAUCAAGCAAUUCUGUGUGCACGAUGAAGUUUUCGGAAUGUAAAGUGCUUUCAGUUGGGAAGCGGUACCAACAGAAGAAGUGACGGCUAAAUACGUGCCAGUAGCCGCGGUAAUAC